rnacentral:rRNA from 1 species
AGCCAGACUCCUACGGGAGGCAGCAGUGGGGAAUAUUGGGCAAUGGGCGCAAGCCUGACCCAGCAACGCCGCGUGAAGGAAGAAGGCUUUCGGGUUGUAAACUUCUUUUGUCAGGGACGAAGCAAGUGACGGUACCUGACGAAUAAGCCACGGCUAACUACGUGCCAGCAGCCGCGGUAAUACGUAGGUGGCAAGCGUUAUCCGGAUUUACUGGGUGUAAAGGGCGUGUAGGCGGGGAAGCAAGUCAGAUGUGAAAACCACGGGCUCAACCUGUGGCCUGCAUUUGAAACUGUCGUUCUUGAGUACUGGAGAGGUUGACGGAAUUCCUAGUGUAGCGGUGAAAUGCGUAGAUAUUAGGAGGAACACCAGUGGCGAAGGCGGUCAACUGGACAGCAACUGACGCUGAGGCGCGAAAGCGUGGGGAGCAAACAGGAUUAGAUACCCUGGUAUA